GUGCCAGCCGCCGCGGUAAGACGGGAGAUGCAAGCGUUAUUCGGAUUUAUUGGGCGUAAAGGGUCUGUAGGUUGUUGGUUAAGUCUAUGGUCAAAUUCCGAAGUUCAACUUCGGGCCGGCACUAGAAACUAAUCAACUUGAGUACGUUAGAGGCAGGGGGAAUUCCCAGUGUAGCGGUGAAAUGCGUAGAUAUUCGGAGGAACACCAAUUGCGAAGGCAGUUCACUGGACCGUGAUCGACGCUGAGGAGCGAAAGCUAGGGGAGCAAACAGGAUUAGAUA
rnacentral:rRNA from 1 species